AGAAGGAGAAUUAUGAUGACAUGGCAUUUAUGGCCAAUCGUAACUGACUACAAGGGGCUGGAACUAAGGUCACAUUCUGCUUAGUGUAAGGGAGAAGAGUGGUGAAAGAAUAGAAAGAAUGUAUCUGUAUUGUCCUGGCAAUCAGGCUGAUCUUCAGUAUGUCUCCUUACUGCUCAAAAAUGACUGAUUGUUUUCUCGUUGUCAAUGUGAAGCCAAUGGGAGAUGGGAACAGAGAAUCAACUUGAAUGAAACAAACCAUCUCCCUGCUAAAUACUAACUACUUCAUUUGAGAAUCAUCAUGAGAAUAAAACCCUGCAUAAGUAUUCUUGACA
rnacentral:lncRNA from 1 species